UACGUAGGGUGCAAGCGUUAAUCGGAAUUACUGGGCGUAAAGCGUGCGCAGGCGGUUGUGCAAGACAGAUGUGAAAUCCCCGGGCUUAACCUGGGAACUGCAUUUGUGACUGCACGGCUAGAGUGUGUCAGAGGGGGGGUAGAAUUCCACGUGUAGCAGUGAAAUGCGUAGAUAUGGUGGAGGAAUACCGAUGGCGAAGGCAGCCCCCUGGGAUAACACUGACGCUCAUGCACGAAAGCGUGGGGAGCAAACAGG
rnacentral:rRNA from 1 species